rnacentral:rRNA from 1 species
AUGGCGUCCAGAACAGCAGCGGCGACCGUGGUGGUCCUGGCCUUGGUCUGUGCCGUGCAGUCGUCACUCUCCGUGGCGGCGGCCACCGGGGGUCUGUCCCCUGACUUCCACGCGGCGACAUGCCCGGCGCUGGAGCACAUCGUGGCGGACCACGUGUGGAAGGCCUUCAAGAACGACUCCGGCGUGGCGCCGGCCCUCAUCCGCAUCCUCUUCCAUGACUGCUUCCCGCAGGGCUGCGACGCGUCAGUGCUCAUCGAGGGCCCCGGCACCGAGCAGGAUGAGAUCCCCAACAGGACGCUCCGCAGAGUGGCGCUGGACCUCAUUGAGCGCAUCCGGGCCACCGUGCACACCGAAUGCAAGGCCACGGUGUCCUGCGCCGACAUCACCAUCCUCGCCACCCGCGCCUCCCUCAUCAUGGCCGGCGGGCCCCGCUUUGACGUCACCCUCGGCCGCCGUGACUCCUUCUUCCCGGCGUCCAAGGACCAGGUCGGCCUGCUGCCGGCGCCCUUCCACCCCGUGGACACCCUCAUCAAGUCCUUCGGCGACCGCGGCCUCAAUGUGGAGGACCUGGUGUCUCUCUCCGGCGCGCACACCUUCGGCGUCGCCCACUGCCCGGCCUUCCAUGACCGGUUCAAGGAUGGCUUCGACACGAACCCGGCCAUCGACCGCAGGUUCGCCACGAUGCUGCGGAACAAGUGCGCCAAGGACACCCCCGAAGGCACCCUGAAGCAAAAUCUCGACGUGCGCACGCCCGACGUUUUCGACAACAAGUACUACUUCGACCUGAUCGCGAGGCAGGGGCUGUUCAAGUCCGACCAGGGGCUGAUGAACCACACGGCCACCCAGCGCAUGGCCACCCGUUUCUCCCUCAACCAGGACGCCUUUUUCCAGCAGUUCUCCAAGUCCAUGGCCAAGAUGGUCAACAUGGACCUGCUCACGGGCGACAAGGGCGAGAUCCGGGCCAGAUGCGCCGUCCGCGGCACUCCUCCCCGCAUCGAGUCCGCCGUCACCAACGACGACGAGGGGAUCGCCGCCGACAUGUAA